UACGUAGGUGGCAAGCGUUGUCCGGAAUUACUGGGCGUAAAGGGCGUGUAGGCGGCCUUUUAAGUCAGACGUGAAAACCCUGGGCUUAACCCAGGAACUGCGUUUGAAACUGGAGGGCUUGAGGACCGGAGAGGGUAGUGGAAUUCCCAGUGUAGCGGUGAAAUGCGUAGAUAUUGGGAGGAACACCAGUGGCGAAGGCGACUGCCUGGACGGCACCUGACGCUGAGGCGCGAAAGCUAGGGGAGCAAACGGG
rnacentral:rRNA from 1 species